GACGAACGCUGGCGGCAUGCUUAACACAUGCAAGUCGAACGGAAAGGCCCUGCUUUUGUGGGGUGCUCGAGUGGCGAACGGGUGAGUAACACGUGAGUAACCUGCCCUUGACUUUGGGAUAACUUCAGGAAACUGGGGCUAAUACCGGAUAGGAGCUCCUGCUGCAUGGUGGGGGUUGGAAAGUUUCGGCGGUUGGGGAUGGACUCGCGGCUUAUCAGCUUGUUGGUGGGGUAGUGGCUUACCAAGGCUUUGACGGGUAGCCGGCCUGAGAGGGUGACCGGCCACAUUGGGACUGAGAUACGGCCCAGACUCCUACGGGAGGCAGCAGUGGGGAAUAUUGCACAAUGGGCGGAAGCCUGAUGCAGCAACGCCGCGUGCGGGAUGACGGCCUUCGGGUUGUAAACCGCUUACGCCUGUGACGAAGCGUGAGUGACGGUAAUGGGUAAAGAAACACCGGCUAACUACGU
rnacentral:rRNA from 1 species